UCUCUCCUCGCUACACUACCCGCCUCUCAAACUAGAUCCUUUGCACAAAUCUUCUGCAAAUCGAAGCAUGACACAGAAAUCGACGUCGAAGCCCUCAGUUCGUAACCCUUGAUCCCCUCCAAAAAAUCGAAGCCCAGAGUGCUAUCACAAGCCUUAGAUUCAGAACAUCGAUUGCUGAAACUUCUCCGAGUUCUUAAUUUGGUAAGGGCUUGAAAUUUAUAUACUUGGUUUGGCAAUUGUUCCUCUGUUCUUCUGAUUUAUUGUCAAAAAGUGUAUGAAUUUUGACUCCAUUUCUCAUCAUAGGGUUUCUGUUUGAAUUGUUGAUCCUUAGGGUCAUGCCUUAGCAUUCAAUCUAGUUGAAUAACUCGUUUGUUCAAACCAUUUUUGGCCCUCAAUAUUAGAUGUAUCUUGCUUGAAACUAUGAUACACGUGCCGCCUUGAGAGCAACCGUGCUACAAUAAUAUUUUAGCUUCGUAGCAGCUUCCUUUCAAGUUUCUGUUACCUUUUAUCUUCUUUUUACUGUGGAGAAAUCAGACCACUGAUUCAUCUUCCAUUCCCUUUCCCCUGCAUUACUUCUCUUCUGUUCCUGACUUGAUUUUCCUCUGUUUAAUUGUUUUUAUCUUUUUCUUGUUUUUCCUUGUUCUCAAUUCUAAUGUCAUUUCUUACAAUUCAUAAUUCCUCUUAUUGAAUGUUUAGAUUUAGAAUUCAGUUGGUUUAGGCAUGUUGUUGUUCUAUUGAAUCUAAUAUUGAGAAAUGACUCUUAAUUAUAGCUAUACUGCAUUCAAGUCANNNNN
rnacentral:lncRNA from 1 species